UCAAACUGCAGUCACUCCUUCCCUUUUCUUUCCAAAAGGUAGUGGCAGAUAACAUUUCUUUGUGUCCUGAAGAAGCUUGUACAAGGGAAACCCAUUUAGGAGCAGCCAGAUUCAGCAACUCUUUCUGAGGAGGAUGAAGAGGGAGAAGCUACUCAUGGUACCAGCGCUGAUCAUAUGGAUGCAAGUAUCACAAGUGAAUGGACAACAGAUACAGCAAAUUCCUCCAUCCCUGCUCCUACAGGAAGGAGAGAACUUCACCACCUACUGCAAUUCCUCAAGCACUUUAAACAGGUUGCAGUGGUAUAAGCAGAGGCCUGGGGGAAGUCCUGUUCUCUUGAUGAUGGUAGUUACAGGUGGAGACGUGCAGAAGCAGGAAAGGCUGACAGCUCGGUUUGGAGAGACUAGAAAGCACAGCUCCCUGCACAUCACAGCCGCCCAGACUGCAGAUGUGGGGACCUAUUUCUGCGCAGGGGCACAGAGCUCUCGAAGCACCUGCUGCCUGUCCCCAAACCUCGCUGUGGGCUCCAGGAGCAGCUCCUCCUCUCUCUUCUCAGAACAGGAGUCAGAGAAAGCUGAAGUCACAAUAUCCUUGAAAAAGUUAAAUUUUCAAUUAAAAAAAUAUCCAGGCCGUUGCAUUGGCAAAUUCUACCAAACAUUUGAAGAAGAAUUAGCAUGA